AAAUGGAUAUAUGGCAUACGUAAGGAGUGCAGCUUUCUGGAAUUCAAUACAGUAACUUUCAUCCAAACUGUUGCCAUAGUUUACAGCAGGUAAUACUAACAGAGUGCACUGUAAUAUUGACAACAUGACUAAGCAUUUUGACUAUCUUGUUUGUGAUCUAUGACUCAAGGGCUUUUCAUUCUGAUGGCACUGAUAUGUUGACUGACAUAAAAACGUUGGGUUGUUUUUUUAACCCAACCGUUGGGUUACACAUAUUGGGUCAUUGUGUUGGGUUAUCUUAAAAUUUGUUGGGUCAUUUAUUUUCGGCGUUGGGUUAUUUUUAGUUAUAACCCAACUGUUGGGUUAAAUAUGGUUCCCGCUUCACUCCGGUUCAAAUUUUAACGGUCCAGUCAGCGACUCAGUGGACAUCAGCGGCAGCCUGCCUGAUUAUGAAAGAUAAAUGGAUUUCUUUGUAAAGAAAAGAUUAUUUUACCAAUCCUUGCUAAGUUUCUGGACGUUGAUGGUGUAAGGACCCUUGCUGUCUAUGGGAGGGUCAGAGAGCUGUCAGAAUGCAUCAAAAAUAUCUUAACUUGUGUUCCAAAGAUGAACGGAGGUCUUACGGGUUUAGAACGACAUGAGGAUCUAAAGAAGAACAAGUGUGACAGGCUAUGUCUAUGGCUACAUUAACAUCAACAGCUCAAAUUAAAUUUUUACCCAGCAGAUUUCUCACUGGAAUGUAAUAAAUCUCAGUUUGAAUGCUGCAGGUAUGAAUCAUCUUCAUCUUGGAGGUCAGAGUAAAGGUCUCUGAGGAUAUUAAUGCUCUUUCUCGUAUCUUGACAUCCAUUUAUUUAAUCGGAUGGACAGACAGACCUGAGCACUGUAAAUAUAUUUGACACUCUUGUGCCCUUUUUCAAACCCAUCCUAAAGAGUCAAUGUAUUGCAAG
ensembl:lncRNA